rnacentral:rRNA from 1 species
CCUACGGGAGGCAGCAGUGAGGAAUAUUGGUCAAUGGACGAGAGUCUGAACCAGCCAAGUAGCGUGAAGGAUGACUGCCCUAUGGGUUGUAAACUUCUUUUAUAUGGGAAUAAAAUGUUCCACGUGUGGGAUUUUGUAUGUACCAUAUGAAUAAGGAUCGGCUAACUCCGUGCCAGCAGCCGCGGUAAUACGGAGGAUCCGAGCGUUAUCCGGAUUUAUUGGGUUUAAAGGGAGCGUAGGUGGAUUGUUAAGUCAGUUGUGAAAGUUUGCGGCUCAACCAUAAAAUUGCAGUUGAAACUGGCAGUCUGGAGUACAGUAGAGGUGGGCGGAAUUCGUGGUGUAGCGGUGAAAUGCUUAGAUAUCACGAAGAACUCCGAUUGCGAAGGCAGCUCACUGGACUGCAACUGACACUGAGGCUCGAAAGUGUGGGUAUCAAACAGGAUUAGAUACCCGAGUAGUC